AAUCAGAAUCCGAAUUGGCUUCCAAUUCUGCUCAGUUCAACACUCAAGUUCUUGGCGACCCAAAUCCAGUUCUGAGCGCCCACAUCUGACAAAACUCUAGUUUUGCUUAUUUGAGUGUGCCUAAUCUAUUUCUGCAUCCAUUUCGUGCAGAAUUGACUCCGACUCAGUCCGACACUCUCCAGAUGUGUCGACCAGUCACUAACACUGUAGCCAAUCCUAUCCAAACCUUCGAAACACUAUAAUCCAACUUUUCAAAUUAUUUGAUUUAAGUCGGUCCCACGUUAUUUUAACUUCUAAAAUUUAAAUUAAUCAGUUAUUUUACUAAAUUUAUAAUUGCAAAAAUUAUAUGUAAUACUAACUAAAUCUAUAAAGAUAAAUAAUGUAUUUGAAUUUCAAAGUUAAAGAAUCGUUAUAUGGCUCGAAUUAAAUAAAUUAAAAAAUUGAUACUAAAAUUAAAUUUUUGAAAAAUUUUCAAAAUAAUAAAAAAUAAAGAAAUGGAAGAAUGAGUUGACGACAGGAGCUUCACGAGCCCAAAUUCAUCUACAUUAUUAUUACCAGACGGAGUUCAUGUUAUCCGCCAGCCUAGAUACCAAUUUCAAACCAACCUUAAUUUCCUAUCACUUUCAAUUAUAAAAAAGUGAUGCUACACCUACACCCUUUUUCGGGCGUAUGAUGUGUGUACUCAUUCAUGCAUGUUUUUCACUUGUGGAUGCGAUAAAUAAAAUACACUAGUGAAGGCCCGCGCUACGCUGCGGAAAAUUUAUGUAAAAAAUUAAAUUUUAAAUUUUAAAUUUAAUCUUUAUUUUUUGUACAUGAUCCACAGCUAUACAAAUAAAAAAAGNUAAGGGCAAAUAAGAAAAGCUGGUGAUUGUAGAAUGGUGUAUUUGAAAAAAUUAAAAUUAAAAUACUUUUUUGUCUCUAACUUAAGGGCAAAUAAAAAAAAAAAGUUGGUAAUAAUAGAAAGUUAUAUUUAAAAAGACAAAAUAGUAAUUUCAUAAAAAUAACAGUUAUUACUAAUUGUUCACUAACAUAAUUUAACUCUAAGAACAUAUUAGAAAUAAUUUGAAACAUAAAUAUGAUAUUUUUAAUAUUAACCUUCUAAGAGGAAUUAGAAAGGCGAAAACUUUUGUAUAUAAGCGAUUACCCUUUUUUUUAUAAAUUGAUCCCAAGUGGGUCCAACAAAACUUUUUUAUUAGACAAAUAUGUUAUAGCCAAUCCAAUAACUAGUUAACUUUUUCCCCCCUUAGCAAUAGCAAAAAAAACCUAGCCUAUUUUAUCCUACAUAAUUUUUUUCUUUACCUUUCCCAAUUAUAUUGAAUCUAAUUAAUAUAUUGAUCAAUAUUUCAAAAGUCAAAUUCAAUCCUAUUU
rnacentral:lncRNA from 1 species